rnacentral:rRNA from 1 species
ACGACUCUCGGCAACGGAUAUCUCGGCUCUUGCAUCGAUGAAGAACGUAGCGAAAUGCGAUACUUGGCGUGAAUUGCAGAAUCCCGUGAACCAUCGAGUCUUUGAACGCAAGUUGCGCCCGAAGUCUUUUAGACCGAGGGCACGUCUGCCUGGGCGUCA